AUUGAACGCUGGCGGCAUGCCUUACACAUGCAAGUCGAACGGCAGCGGGGGAGAAGCUUGCUUUUCCUGCCGGCGAGUGGCGAACGGGUGAGUAAUACAUCGGAACGUGCCCUGUAGUGGGGGAUAACUAGUCGAAAGAUUAGCUAAUACCGCAUACGACCUGAGGGUGAAAGUGGGGGACCGCAAGGCCUCAUGCUAUAGGAGCGGCCGAUGUCUGAUUAGCUAGUUGGUGGGGUAAAGGCCUACCAAGGCGACGAUCAGUAGCUGGUCUGAGAGGACGAUCAGCCACACUGGGGCUGAGACACGGCCCAGACUCCUACGGGAGGCAGCAGUGGGGAAUCUUGGACAAUGGGCGAAAGCCUGAUCCAGCAAUGCCGCGUGUGUGAAGAAGGCCUUCGGGUUGUAAAGCACUUUUGUCCGGAAAGAAAUGGCUCUGGUUAAUACCUGGGGUCGAUGACGGUACCGGAAGAAUAAGGACCGGCUAACUACGUGCCAGCCGCCGCCGUAA
rnacentral:rRNA from 1 species